rnacentral:rRNA from 1 species
CCCUUAGAUGUUCUGGGCCGCACGCGUGCUACACUGAGUGGAUCAGCGGGUCAGGUUGCGCGAAAGUGUUUCCUAAUCUUGAAAUCCGCUCGUGAUGGGGAUUGACGGUUGCAAUUUUCCGUCAUGAACGAGGAAUACCUUGUAAGCGCGGGUCAUCAUCCCGCGCUGAAUACGUCCCUGCCCUUUGUACACACCGCCCGUCGCUCCUACCGAUGGAGUGGUCCGGUGAGGCUUUGGGAUCUGAGCAAAAAGAGCGUUUCGCUCGUUUGGCUCGGAAAACUCAGUCGAACCUUAUCAUUUAGAGGAAGGAGAAGUCGUAACA